UACGUAGGGGCGAGCGUUGUCCGGAAUUAUUGGGCGUAAAGGGUUUGUAGGCGGUAAUACAUGUCAGAUGUGAAAUCUUGUGGCUUAACCACAUCAAGCAUCUGAAACUGUAUAACUUGAGUGGAGGAGAGGUAAGUGGAAUUCCUAGUGUAGCGGUGAAAUGCGUGGAUAUUAGGAAGAAUACCAGUAGCGAAGGCGACUUACUGGCCUCUAACUGACGCUGAUGAACGAAAGCGUGGGUAGCAAACAGGAUUAGAUACCCUGGUA
rnacentral:rRNA from 1 species